rnacentral:tRNA from 1 species
GGCAGUGUGGCCGAGUGGUCGAAGGUGCUGGUUUUAGGCACCAGUAUGAAAGGGCGGGGGCUCGAAUUCCACUGUAGUCA